CGGGCCGUAGCGCAGUUGGUAGCGCGCUUGACUGGGGGUCAAGAGGUCGCAGGUUCAACUCCUGUCGGCCCGAC
rnacentral:tRNA from 1 species